rnacentral:rRNA from 1 species
GACGAACGCUGGCGGCGUGCUUAACACAUGCAAGUCGUACGAUGACCCGGCUCUUCGGAGCUGGUGAUUAGUGGCGAACGGGUGAGUAACACGUGGGUGACCUGCCCUGCACUCUGGGAUAAGCCCGGGAAACUGGGUCUAAUACUGGAUACGACCAGUUGCCGCAUGGUCUGCUGGUGGAAAGCCCUUCGGGGCGGUGUGGGAUGGGCCCGCGGCCUCUCAGCUUGUUGGUGGGGUGAUGGCCUACCAAGACGACGACGGGUAGCCGGCCUGAGAGGGUGUACAGCCAAACUGAGACUGGGACACGGCCCAGACGCGUGCGAGAGGCAGCAGAGGGGACGCUAGGGCAGUGAGCGUGAGCCUGAUGCAGCGACGGCGCGUGAAGGAUGACGGCAUUCGGAUUGUCAGCCUCUUUCGGAAGAGAACAGGCCUGGGGGUUGUCUUCUGGGUGAGGGUACCUGCGGAAGAAGCACCGGCUAACUACGUG